rnacentral:rRNA from 1 species
AUUGAACGCUGGCGGCAGGCCUAACACAUGCAAGUCGAACGGUAGCACAGAGAGCUUGCUCUCGGGUGACGAGUGGCGGACGGGUGAGUAACGUCUGGGAAACUGCCCGAUGGAGGGGGAUAACUACUGGAAACGGUAGCUAAUACCGCGUAACGUCGCAAGACCAAAGUGGGGGACCUUCGGGCCGCACACCAUCGGAUGCGCCCAGAUGGGAUUAGCUAGUAGGUGGGGUAAUGGCUCACCUAGGCGACGAUCCCUAGCUGGUCUGAGAGGAUGACCAGCCACACUGGAACUGAGACACGGUCCAGACUCCUACGGGAGGCAGCAGUGGGGAAUAUUGCACAAUGGGCGCAAGCCUGAUGCAGCCAUGCCGCGUGUAUGAAGAAGGCCUUCGGGUUGUAAAGUACUUUCAGCGGGGAGGAAGGCGGUGAAGUCAAUAGCUUCACCGAUUGACGUUACCCACAGAAGAAGCACCGGCUAACUCCGUGCCAGCCGCCGCCGUAA